GACGAACGCUGGCGGCGUGCUUAACACAUGCAAGUCGAACGGAAAGGCCCUGCUUGCAGGGUACUCGAGUGGCGAACGGGUGAGUAACACGUGGGUGAUCUGCCCUGCACUUCGGGAUAAGCCUGGGAAACUGGGUCUAAUACCGGCUAGGAGCCAUUUUUAGUGUGAUGGUUGGAAAGUUUUUUCGGUGUAGGAUGAGCUCGCGGCCUAUCAGCUUGUUGGUGGGGUAAUGGCCUACCAAGGCGGCGACGGGUAGCCGGCCUGGGAGGGUGGACGGCCACAUUGGGACUGAGAUACGGCCCAGACUCCUACGGGAGGCAGCAGGGGGAAAUAUUGCACAAUGGGCGCAAGCCUGAUGCAGCGACGCCGCGUGGGGGAGGACGGCCUUAGGGUUGUAAACUCCUUUCGCUAGGGACGAAGCUUUUUGUGACGGUACCUAGAUAAGAAGCACCGGCUAACUACGUG
rnacentral:rRNA from 1 species